CGAACAGGAGGCAAGGGUGAAGGGGUGCAAACACUAAUUCAAGAAAAACCUUCAAAUUGAAAGGGGAAACUGGCUCUAAUCGAAUGCAUGGACUUAGAUUCUUGAUCAUCUAGACUUUCUACUCAUGAGACCCUCAGAAAGGUGGACUUGUACCCUCGGAACUAGCAAGACAAGGGAACCGAUAUAUCAUGUAAGAAGCAUGGAUCUAUGAGGUGGCGUGGACUUAACAUCAUUAUGAAGAAAAGAAGGAUUGAAGAUGGAGUCAAGAGCGAGGGUUGUACGGGAAGGAUCGGUCACAUAGUUUGACAAAUAUAGGUCUUGAAGGAUUAAUAUAAUGGAAUGUGGUAAAUCCUUUUUAAUGAGUAUAUGAAAUUUUGUAUUUGAACCUUCCUGUAAGUAUUAUGUCUAAUAAAGAACGAA